GUUCUUCGUUUCCUAAACCCAACUGUCCCGUUCUUCUUUAUCUAAACCCAACUUUCCUGUUCUUCUUUUCCUAAACCCAACUGUCCCGUUCUUGUCCCACUUGUCACAGAAACAUACCUUUUAUAUGCCUACCCACGACCUUUUCCUUAACCUAACUGCGUCAAAAGUGACUCCAAUAGUCCCGACCAAGCGCGUUUAGAUAAGGCACGUUUAAAUAUGACGCUAAAGUAGACUUUUAGCGUCAAUAACAGAGCCAAAGGCACGUGAUCAAGCGUCCGUAUUUCACGCGAUGGGAUUGAGAAUUUGUUGAUUUUCCACAUAUCGU